rnacentral:lncRNA from 1 species
GUUCAACUCCAGGAAGCUGAGAGAAGGUGGGAAGAAGUUCAAGCCUUUAUCAGGAAAAGAACAGCAGAACAUGAGGCAGCACAGCAAGGUAAAGGAGACAGGUGCUCAGGUAAGCUGAUGUAAUUUUGGGUAAAAUUUCUUCCCUUCUCCAUCUGUGAAGAAAGUACAGUAUGGCAUUUUAGUUAUAGUACAUAAAAAUGACUUUUACCCUUUCAUAUUACCUUUAUUUCUUUGACUUUUUUUAGGGUUUUAAAAUAAGAAAUGGUUUUCUUUCUUUAUUUUUUAUGAGUACAUGUUUAAAAUUCACGAUGAUUACAUUCCUGGUGGGGAGUUUGUAUGUGUAUGUAAACAAAUCUCAAUUAUUUUUUUCAUCUCCUUCCCUGCCCAGCCACCCCCUGCCUGCAUUUUUUUAUCCCCUUCUUAUUUGCAAAAGAUCUUUCUAUUAUGCAUCUUUUAUUUUGCUCUUUAUAUUUUAAGUUUCUCCUGCCAGCUUUGCCUGAGCAUUAAAUUGUAGGCAAAAUUGUAGUACCUAAUAAAGUAAUGGGAAAAUAGGCUGGGUGCUUUGUUUUGUUUUGUUUUGUUUUUCCUCUUUAGUUUUCCCCUUUUAUUUCCUUGAGUAGUUCUUAAUUUUAUUUAUUUUUUUGUAAUUAAGAAACAUAAAAUUUUUAGUUUUUCGUUUCCUAUGUUGUAAAGAGAAAAACACUGAGAAUAUUACUGUUUGAUUUAGUUUAUAUGAAACUCUCUACUUGUUGAAUGCUAACUUUUCCUAUUCAUUAUUCCUAAUUUGAAAGGCUCUUUUUUUUUUUGGUACCAGGGAUUGAACUCAGGUCCCUGUGCUUGCCAGGCAGGCGGCAGCACCACUGAGCUGUAUCCCCAGCUGAAUGACUCACAUGGAGAUAAAGGAGCUUGCACUGAUUGCAGAAAAAGAUAAGCAGAUAAAACAAACUGAAGAUUCCCUAGCAAGUGAACAUGAUCAUCUGACUAGUAAAGAGGAGGAACUUAAGGAUAUGCAGAAUAUGAAUUUAUUAUUAAAAGCUGAAAUGCAGAAAUUACAGACUCUGGCAAAUGAGCAGGCUGCUGCAGCACAUGAAUUGGAGAAAAUACAAAAAAGAUUCUUAAUGAUUGAAACAAAGCAUUAAAGUUAGAAGUUCAAAGACUGCAGACUCUUAUUUCUGAACAGUUCUGCCAGUGACACACAUUUCAGAAGUCUCAUCUUCCAUCUUUGAAGAGUAUGAGUUUUUAUUUUCUAUAAAACCUAAUAAAUAUUAUACUAUUAUAUAAAGUCUAAUCUGUCAUUUUAUGGUUUAUGGUUUUUGCAACUGAUCUGAGACAUUCUACAUUAAAUUCAAAGUAAAGUACACAUGGGAUGAAUAUAAAAUAAAAUUCUCUAUCCUUUUUGCAAGGUUCUGAAUAAGGACCGAAUAACAUUGCAGAAUCACAGGGUCAUGACAGGAGAGGGGAGCCAAAACCUUGUUUGGGACUCACUUCUGCCACGUCACCAUUGAAUAUAUCUGAGUCUCUGUAUCUCCAACUGCAAGCUAAAAUGAAUUUUAUCCAUUCAUUUCUUGCUACAAAAUAUCCCCCAAAUUUAGCAGUUUUAAAUAAUAAUCAGUUGAGUCUAUAUUGAGGGAAACACUACAAGGGGGACGAUUUGUGAAAACAUAAGGGAUUAUUACAAUACUGGUACUCCACACUCCAACUACAGCCUACUAACUACUAAAAGGAGCAAAGUAAUGCGUACAGCACUCAAACAGCAUGAUUCUGAACAGCUGAUUCCCCACUAAUGUCUAACCAUCAGUGCUCAUGUGCACGCCCAGAUGAAAGUCCAACCAGAGAAAGAACAGAACAUAAAUCCCCUUACCCUGCUCCUGGUGAGGAAUCUGUGGCAGCCUCAUCCUCUCUUAGGGAAAAAAGGAGGACAAACAGGUCAGAGGAAAGAUGACUUAUAAGGAACAGAGGUGAGGAAAAAUGUAGCUCAUUAAUUCCUUCCCCCCAAAGAGCUCUUAUGCCUCCCAGGUCUUGCUGAACAACUCCUAUCUAGUUCAAGGAUGACCCAGAUUCUACUCUGGCCCUGCCACUAACUUCUGCGUUACCUUGGACAAAAUAACUUCAUUUUCCUGACUUUAAUUUUCUUAUUUGAGCCAGGUAUGGUGGUGCACACCUAUAACCCCAGCACUCUGGGAGUCUGAGACAGGAAGAUUGAAAAUUGAAGCCCAGCCUGGACAACUUAGCAAGACCCUAUAUAAAAACAAAAAAUUAAAAGUGGGCUGGGGUGUAGCUCAGUGCAAAGACCUUAGGUUCAAUCCCUAGUGUGACACACACAAAAUCCUUAUUUGUAAAAUGAAAGCAUUUAACCAGGUCUCUAUGAUUUCUUCAGAUUUGGGAAUUUUAUGACCCCAAGGUAACUUAUUAGUAAAAUAGUUGUUCAUGCACAGUCCUAAUACUUAUCUCUAUUUAGUGUACUUUUUUACAUAUAUAUAUUUAGUUUACUUAAUUUCAAUGUGUC